CCCAAAUACAUAUUAACAAUCAAUUUACCCACCACCGGAAUAAUUGCCUCUCGCUGUCAGCCCGAUCCGAAUUUUUUUCAAUUACUCAGUUUGUAACUGGGUCCUUUUCCUCAAGGGUUAUACAAUUUAUAGUAAAUAUAUCCUUCCGGGGUUGAAGCCUAGUGGGGGCUCCUAUAUGAGCUAUCCUUUCUUCACUGGAUAGUAUUGUCAAC